rnacentral:rRNA from 1 species
AUUGAACGCUGGCGGCAUGCCUUACACAUGCAAGUCGAACGGUAACAGGUCUUCGGAUGCUGACGAGUGGCGAACGGGUGAGUAAUACAUCGGAACGUGCCCGAGAGUGGGGGAUAACGAAGCGAAAGCUUUGCUAAUACCGCAUACGAUCUCAGGAUGAAAGCAGGGGACCGCAAGGCCUUGCGCUCACGGAGCGGCCGAUGGCAGAUUAGGUAGUUGGUGGGAUAAAAGCUUACCAAGCCGACGAUCUGUAGCUGGUCUGAGAGGACGACCAGCCACACUGGGACUGAGACACGGCCCAGACUCCUACGGGAGGCAGCAGUGGGGAAUUUUGGACAAUGGGCGCAAGCCUGAUCCAGCCAUGCCGCGUGCAGGAUGAAGGCCUCGGUUGUAACUAGCUUUGUACGGACGAAAGACUCUGGUUAAUACCUGGGUCCAUGACGGUACCGUAAGAAUAAGCACCGGCUAACUACGUGCCAGCAGCCG